rnacentral:lncRNA from 1 species
CAUAGUAGAACAUUCUCCUGGACGGCCUGUGUCGGGGAGCCUGAGAACAGGCGCAGCUCCUAGCAGGGCAGUGAGCUGGGAGGUGCGGCGGCCAUGCAGAGCGGGAGUGGGACGAGGAGGGCUGUGUGUGGUGGGCUCGGGGGCAGGUCAGUCUCCAUCCCACAGGGAGCUUGCGGGAGAGCCCCCGGGCCCCCACCCCCCUGUCCUGUCUACAGAGGAGCAUUAGUCAGCCACUCGCUCUAUUCCUCCACCUCGAAGGCAACGAGCGUCUUACCGUUUACUGGCUUCCUAGUCAGACUGACGACACGCAGGUGCUCCGGGUCUGCAUCUGCCGUGUCCUCUUCACAUGUCAAGCGACAGAGGACCCCAAGAAAGGCCCUUUCUACCCGGAGCCACUGUGAUGCCUGAGCUGAAAUGGCCGGUCUGGAGCUGAGGUGGGUCCCCGCAAGAGGAAGGGCACCUUUCUGCCAGACGCACUCAAUGCCCACGUCCUGGGUUUCAGGUCACUCUCACAUCUUUUGAGAUUUGACGUAGUAUUGCAUCUUGGCCAAAUGUUUAUGGAAGCUGCCUGUCUGCAUUGACUUCUAAGGCGUCUGGGCUCAAAAUGGCUGUGGGAUCUUAGUUCCCUGACCAGGGAUCAAACUGAGGUGCCCCGCAUUGCAAGGCGGAUUCUUAACCACUGGGCCACCGGGGAAGUCCCCAAAUCACUUCCGUUACAAGCGCAGAAACUGAAACCCAGAUUCAGAUAGUGACUCAAAACUACCCAAGGGCCCAAUGAGGCCAAGUGUCACUUCCCUCCCCUCAUUUGAGUCAUCUAGUAAGUCCAAAUCAAAAAUGUUUAUUUUCAUGUCAAGUACAACACUAGUCUAGGAAACAAUUUUAAGUCAUUAAAAACCCACACAAACAAAGAACCAUUAAGAAUGGUAAAAGAAAAACAAAUAAGUAGCUAUUCCUGUAAAUAACCCAUUAGAAUUGAUUUUUCAAUGGAUUCAACCACCUGCCUUUUAAAUAGCAUGGUGCUUGGUUUCUUUUAAUUAUUAUUAUUCCCAGGUGGCUCAGUGGUAAAGAACCCGCCUGCCAAGGCAGGAGACAUGGGUUCCACUCCUGAGUAGGGAAGAUCUCCUGGAGGAGGGCAUGNNNNCCCACUCCAGGAUUCUUGCCUGGAGAAUUCCAUGGACAGAGGAGCCUGUCGGGCCACAGUCCAUCGAGUCACCAAGAGUCAGACACCACUCAACUAACACUUUCACACUUCCAUCCCCAAGUUAAGGCAUAUAUUUUGCAUCUACUUCAGAUGCAUAGAUUCUUGGUAGGACUUUAAAGGGGGCGUUGAUGACAAUGUCUGUAAGAGCCAAGAGAUGGAAGCCAGGGCUCGUCCUGUGAACCACAGAGCACGUCUGUUUUCUCUGGGUUGGUCACUGAGGGAUAAAUCCCUUCCUGAUAAGAGGACUUUACUGGGUAAUUUUUUUUCCAGUCUUGGUGGGAGCACAUUUUCUUGGAAGGAACCAUGAGUGUUUGGGGCAGAGGAGUAAUGAUUCUUAGAAGACUUUUUCCUCCUUAAGCCUUUCUGGAAACUAAUAUCCAGGCUCUGACCACCUGGGAGUCCAGGGGAUGCCCCGCUGAGAGGUGGCAAGGCACACGAUGGGACACAGUGUCUGUGGCCCCUGCAACGAGAGUUUCAAAAAGAGCAAGUAACAGCCUUGAAGGAAAGCAAUAUGUUUUUCCUCAAUAUAAGGUUUCCUCCCCCAAAACAGCGUCAGAGGCUGUCGGAAGCUGGGCACCCUUCCAAAGGUUAGAGACAGGGCCAAAACAUAUCAUUUUAGCCU